CUAACUGCCUGGAGGCGGGAGCAUAUGGACACUCAAGGAAGCUGUGCUUAAAAUUCCUUUCCAGGAGUUCCUCUCGUGGCUCAGUGGACGAACCUAACUAGUAUCCAUGAGGACUCGGGUUCGAUCCCUGGCCUCGCUCAGUGGGUGAAGGAUCCGGCAUUACUGUGAGCUGUGGUGUAGGUCGCAGACACGGCUUGGAUCCUGCGUUGCUGUGGCUGUGGUGUAGGCCAGCAGCUGUAGUUCCGAUUGGAUCCCUAGCCCGGGAACCUCCAUAUCCCGAGGGUGCGGCCCCAAAAAGACAAAAAAAAAAAAAAUCCUUUCCAAACUCAGAUGCCCACCCAGUGUGUAAGGCCUGGUUUUAGGGCAAAUCUGGACCUGUUUUUUCAGUGACGUUUUAUUGGAAUUCAACCACGUCCAUUCACUGACUUAAUUGUCUAUGGCUGGUGGCACCAUAUAAUGGCAGCAGAGUGGCAGGGACCACUGUAGGGCCUGCAGGCUUCAACUAUUUCCGAUGUGGCCAUUUACAGAAAAAAUUUGUCAAUUCCUGGUAUCGAUAGUGAAAGAUGGCUUUUUGCACGUGUUUGAAAUUCUUGAAAAAGGAGUCUGAAGGAUCUUGAUUUUUUUUUUUUUUUAAAUUAAAUGAGUCCAUCUGCCAUUUAAUAGAUUGUCUUUUUCUUUCAUUUGUCAGAGUUAUGUUGGCGUUAGGGCCCUGACCACAGGUUCAAUUAACUUUGCCACUUUGGGGACCUGUUUUAAGUCUUCCAACCGAUCCUUUUCAAAGUACUGAAGACAGGACUCUGAUCAGAUACCAACUGUACCACACAAACGUGGUAGUUCCUCAGUGAACUGUGUGCGUUUUUUUAUAUGUUUCGUGGAGGUAUAUCCCUUCUCUCCUGGAGCCCCAGUGACUAUUUUCCCUUCAAACCUACCCAUCCGAGGCUCUUCCUUCUUUGCGGUGGCACCUUGUGGUGGGCUCCCUGUUGAACUCCUACCCAGCUUAGUCAUUGAGGAAAGUGAAUCAGCCAUGGGGUGAGUCAUUGCAAACCCAACUCCGAGUAAGAAACCCCGUCAUGCACCUAAGAGAUCAUGAAUCAUGAGGUUGGGACAACCUGCUGGUGGGUGCAAUUGGGGAAAAAAAAAAUCCCCUCUUCUGAUUCCAAACCCCCUUUCCUUCCACUGUACAUGGGCUCGAGGUAAACAUUUAAAACAAGAAUGAAGGCCUUAGUCAUGAGGGCUUUUCGUAAGGAUUUAGUCCUCAUUUACACUUUUAAAAUUGUUUUUAGGAGUUCCCAUCAUGGCGCAGUGGUUGGCGAAUCCGACUGGGACCCAUGGGGUUGCGGGUUCGGUCCCUGCCCUUGCUUAGUGGGUUGACGAUCCGGCGUUGCCGUGAGCUGUGGUGUAGGUUGCAGACGUGGCUUGCGGAUCCCGCGUUGCUGUGGCUCUGGCGUAGGCCGGUGGCUACAGCUCCGAUUAGACCCCUAGCCUGGGAACCUGCAUAUGCCGCGGGAGCGGCCCAAGAAAUAGCUAAAAAGACAAAAAAAAA
rnacentral:lncRNA from 1 species